AGCGCUCUCACUUUGAUCCCUUCCAUCUGUCACACACAGACACCCCUGCACACCUGCCCCACGGAGCCUGCAAAUUAAAAUCUCAGUGUUUUUUCCCCAAGGAGGCCGCGGUGGGGCAGAAAGAGUGGGAAAUAAUACAUAGCGUAGCCUUGAUUGAAUAUUCAUUGCAGAGAGCAGGAGGCAGAGAGUGCAGCGGUUGGGAACAGAGUCUUGCUUUGUACUGGGGAAAGGGGAGACGAGGUCGCCCCGUCCUUUAAGGAGGAGGAGGAGAUGGAGGAGGAGGAAGAGGAGGAGUUGGUGGUUGAGGGUGUUUAGGCCAGGGGGGUAGAAACACGAGGAGGAUGCUUGCGCAUGCAUGCGUGGUGAUGCUAUCCUGCCGUUUCAAAGCCAGAGGGGAUUUUUCCAGAGGGACAGCUGGUUUAAAUAAGGAAACGAUGAAGACCUCAGAAAGCACCAGUGGGGGAAAUAAAAAAAAAGAUCAUUUCAUCAACUCAAUUAGGCUCAUUAAUCAAAGCAGGCCAUUUGCCUCUUCCCAGGGCAGCUGGUGAAGGUUAAGAGAGCGGCUGGAUCUCUGGAAGGAGGGAAGAGUUUGGGGAAAGAAACCAGGGAGGGGGGUAGUAGGCUUUGCCAGGAACUUAACCCAAGGACAGCCCCAUCGUUCGUCAUUUACAGUGACCUGAUGGAGAUGGAUGAUACGGCUUAGCAACCACACUGUGGGAGCUGCCUCCUGAAGCACAGGAGCCAACACCUCAUACGAUGCGAGUACAAGUUGGUUGGCUCUGUUCCACAGGCACAUAACUGGGAAACCAAUCUAUAUUGCUGAACAGCCCAAAUCCUCCUCUUAAAAAAA